rnacentral:lncRNA from 1 species
AGUCUUCUUGCAUAUCUGGGCUCAGUCUCUGUACUCUCACUGCAAGCCUGAGAGGAAUGCAUUGAGAGGAUGGCAUGAGGAAGCACUUUUUCCUAUGUGAGGUCUUGAGAUUUUUCAUGCCAAAUGAUGUGGGAUCUGGAAAGAUGGGCGAAUAGGAAUAGCUCUGGUCUACAGCUCCCAGCAAAACCAACACAGAAGGAACUGCCAUACUUUUUUACACAGCAGCUGCACCAUUUUACAUUCCCACCAGCAAUGCACAACGGUUCUGAUUUCUCUAUGUCUUUUACUGCUGAAAGCAUCCUGAGUGACACAAACUUGAAGCAUGCAAGAGGACUAAAUAACUUCCAAAGUCACACAUAUUGCAUGUCAAGAGCCAGCUUCAAACUCAAGUCCCUGUGACCAGAGGUCGAUGCUCUAAACACAUUUCUGCAUGACCUGCUUGUGGCAGCCUGGAGAAAUUCUACAUAAAUCUUCUCAGAGCCAGUGGAGGAGGUUCACACUCACAUCAGGAAGAGCCUGAGGAUAAAGGGGAGCACAACAUGUGUUUUGCAAAUCAGUAAAUCAAUCAACUAAUAUUUAUGGACUAUUAAAUUUGAGUGGAGCUAUACAUUUGCAAAGACAAAGGAAACAGUUCCAGAGGCUGCGAGGUCUGAGAUCAAGGAUCUGACACCUGGUGAGGGCCUUUUUGCUGCAUCAUUUCACAUAGAGACAAAAAGAUUCUCACCUGUAAGCUUGAAUUAUGUCUACAUCAUGCUUGGGAAAUGUCCAUAUAUUCUAAGCUUGAAACUGCAGUGAUGAGGACGUCACCACUUCCAGAGAGAACACUUUACUACCAGGCAACUUGAGUACAAUAGGCAGCCACAAAUAUCAUCCUUGCUAGCCAGGAAUGACAAGGAGCAAGCCACAUGAGGAGUCAGAAAAGAUUAUUCCAGGCAGGGCUGAGAUCUGCAUUAUGGUCUGGAGGCUGCCCCAGUCUCUCCUUUACCUCCAUAUUUUUCUCACAGUUCUUGAGCAUCCAGUAAAUGCCAGAUGAAGCAUGGGGACACUGAGAUAACUAUACUGCUAUAGCUUCUGGUCUUAGGGUACAAAGAAUCUACAGAGAGAGCCACAGGAAAUCCUCAACUAUUCUAAUAAAAAUACAUGUUCAAAAACAAGAAUUGAAGCAAGAGAAGAAUGAUCAGUAAGGGCUUCAUGAAAGAAGAAACCAUUGAGUUUACUUUUACAAUGAAAUAUCUUUGGGGAG